CAGCAGCCGCGGUAAUACGUAGGGUGCGAGCGUUAAUCGGAAUUACUGGGCGUAAAGCGUGCGCAGGCGGUUUGUUAAGACAGAUGUGAAAUCCCCGGGCUUAACCUGGGAACUGCAUUUGUGACUGGCCGGCUAGAGUAUGGCAGAGGGAGGUGGAAUUCCACGUAUAGCAGUGAAAUGCGUAGAUAUGUGGAGGAACACCGAUGGCGAAGGCAGCCUCCUGGGCCAAUACUGACGCUCAUGCACGAAAGCGUGGGGAGCAAACAGGAUUAGAUACCCCGGUAGUCCCUGUCUCUUAUAC
rnacentral:rRNA from 1 species